rnacentral:rRNA from 1 species
AUUGAACGCUGGCGGCAGGCCUAACACAUGCAAGUCGAGCGGCAGCGGGGAGUAGCUUGCUACUUUGCCGGCGAGCGGCGGACGGGUGAGUAACGCGUGGGAAUCUACCCAUUUGUGGGGGAUAACUUGGGGAAACCCAAGCUAAUACCGCAUAAUCCCUACGGGGGAAAGCAGGGGACCUUUUGGCCUUGCGCAGAUGGAUGAGCCCGCGUCGGAUUAGCUAGUUGGUAGGGUAAAGGCCUACCAAGGCGACGAUCCGUAACUGGUCUGAGAGGAUGACCAGUCACAUCGGGACUGAGACACGGCCCGAACUCCUACGGGAGGCAGCAGUGGGGAAUCUUGGACAAUGGGGGCAACCCUGAUCCAGCCAUGCCGCGUGUGUGAAGAAGGCCCUAGGGUUGUAAAGCACUUUCAGUAGGGAGGAAGGCUUCGGGUUAAUACCCUGGAGUACUUGACGUUACCUACAGAAGAAGCACCGGCUAAUUUCGUGCCAGCAGCCGCGGUAAUACGAAAGGUGCGAGCGUUAAUCGGAAUUACUGGGCGUAAAGCGCGCGUAGGCGGUUAGUUAAGUCGGAUGUGAAAGCCCAGGGCUCAACCUUGGAACUGCAUCCGAUACUGGCUAGCUAGAGUGCAGUAGAGGGAGGUGGAAUUUCCGGUGUAGCGGUGAAAUGCGUAGAGAUCGGAAGGAACACCAGUGGCGAAGGCGGCCUCCUGGACUGACACUGACGCUGAGGUGCGAAAGCGUGGGGAGCAAACAGGAUUAGAUACCCUGGUAGUCCACGCCGUAAACGAUGUCUACUAGCCGUCGGCGAUUUGUAUUGUUGGUGGCGCAGCUAACGCGAUAAGUAGACCGCCUGGGGAGUACGGCCGCAAGGUUAAAACUCAAAUGAAUUGACGGGGGCCCGCACAAGCGGUGGAGCAUGUGGUUUAAUUCGAUGCAACGCGAAGAACCUUUCCUACUCUUGACAUCCUCGGAACUUGGCAGAGAUGCCUUGGUGCCUUCGGGAGCCGAGUGACAGGUGCUGCAUGGCUGUCGUCAGCUCGUGUCGCGAGAUGUUGGGUUAAGUCCCGUAACGAGCGCAACCCUUGUCCCUAGUUGCCAGCGGGUUAUGCCGGGAACUCUAGGGAGACUGCCGGUGACAAACCGGAGGAAGGUGGGGACGACGUCAAGUCAUCAUGGCCCUUACGAGUAGGGCUACACAUGUGCUACAAUGGCCGGUACAGAGGGCAGCGAAGUCGCGAGGCGGAGCAAAUCCCUUAAAACCGGUCGUAGUCCGGAUUGCAGUCUGCAACUCGUCUGCAUGAAGUCGGAAUCGCUAGUAAUCGCAGAUCAGAAUGCUGCGGUGAAUACGUUCCCGGGCCU